UGUUAUAGCCGAUGCUUUGUCCCGUAGAGGGAGGCCUGAGCUUCCCCAGUUCACUGGCUAAAGUGACCCCACUCAGUUCGGUCUCAAAGAGGGGAGAGAUGUGACGGGGCAGGAAUCAUUUGACCAGGGAAUGU